GGACUACAGGGGUAUCUAAUCCUGUUCGCUCCCCACGCUUUCGCGCCUCAGUGUCAGUAUCAGUCCAGAAAGCCGCCUUCGCCACUGGUGUUCCUUCCGAUAUCUACGCAUUUCACCGCUACACCGGAAAUUCCACUUCCCUCUACUGUACUCUAGUCAUACAGUACUGGAUGACCUUCCCAGGUUAAGCCCGGGGAUUUCACAUCCAACUUAUACAACCACCUACGCGCCCUUUACGCCCAGUAAUUCCGAUUAACGCUUGCACCCUCUGUAUUACCGCGGCUGCUGGCAC
rnacentral:rRNA from 1 species